rnacentral:rRNA from 1 species
CAGCCGCCACGGGAAUACGGAGGGAGCUAGCGUUGUUCGGAAUUACUGGGCGUAAAGCGCGCGUAGGCGGUUACUCAAGUCAGAGGUGAAGCCCGGGGCUCAACCCCGGAACUGCCUUUGAAACUAGGUGACUAGAAUCUUGGAGAGGUCAGUGGAAUUCCGAGUGUAGAGGUGCAAUUCGUAGAUAUUCGGAAGAACACCAGUGGCGAAGGCGACUGACUGGACAAGUAUUGACGCUGAGGUGCGAAAGCGUGGGGAGCAAACAGGAUUAGAUACCCCCGUAGUCCCUGUCUCUUAUACA